UUCUGGCUGAGUUUUGAGCUUGUAACAAAAGCUGAUUCCUUCCACAAAGCAUUGCAACCAUCAAUGGGAUAAGCCUGUUUCUGUCUUCAAAGCCCUGCCCAGAAGAAGCAGCUAUGCAAUUGAACAGCAUAUAUUGUCACUCUACCACAAAUGUGGUGUGGAUGCUGAGCAGAAAGAGAAGCAGAUGCACUACAAAGACAGUUAAAACAUCACCUAAUCAGGGGGGAGAAAAAAGAAUGAGCUCACUUGAACUAUAUUUAAACUAUGUGCCAAGAGUUCAUUACUAUAACCAAGUUCGUGGUAUUAAUCCAUAGUUGAGGAUUCCUCUGUUUGGGGGGACUAAUGAGUGAUCAAGGUAAGGAAAAGCAAAUUGAAUGAGUGAGUCUAAUGGCAUAUCACUCUCAAUUUGUUUUACUUCAAAUCAAACCCAAAAGCCAAUUUGAUAAUGCAAAAUUACUAAAGCAGAGCUUGCUCAUAAUAUCCUCCUUUCUUGUGAUAAGAAUGUUUCUACAAGGAGAUGAUUUGGUUAAAAUGAGAAUGCCCAAAGGGUAUCUUCCUUCUGCUCCUGCCUGAGGAAGCAAGCAAGGACACUCCAGCUCCAAAUCAAAACAGACGGUUUUCAUAGGCUGAGUAGGAGAUGCAGAAGCAGUCUCAAGUCGCCCCAAGUGUGUGCCUCUCAAGCUCAUAAUGCUUCUGAAGUUUCACAGAAAAUUUCUAGCUAGUAGCAAUGGCCAACAGACAAGGAAUGAAAAGCUACCCUCUGGAUGCCCCCUGACAUAAAGAAGAUAGAGCUGCACAAAGGGUGGGUCAUAAAUAGUGGCCAUUCUGUCACCACAGACCUCCCUUUAUGAUGACAGAGGACGUCUGGUGAUUACAGGCAGCAGCCACACUGCAGUGGGCAGAGGAGGAGAAAGGUACAGAGAAGGGAAAAUUGGAAAAGCCACAGUUCAGAAGCAAAAGACAUUCAUGCACAUCUGGUCUCCCCCUGCGUCCUUCCAGCCUCAUUCAGUCAUUCCCAAAUGGAUAAAGAUGAGGGUGCAACAGCCUAGCUUGUGAGUCUGCCUGUGUAAGCGGGCUGGAUUUGCUAAUGGUGAAAAACUCUUCUGAUGAAAAAAUCCCCUCACUGGAGCUUCCUAAUCAAAUUUAUUUUCUGUGCUCUCUUUGACAGAAAGUAAAGAGAGAAAUUUAUUCCAGAGUCAGAAAAGCCCCACGAUUUUACAUUCUUUUAAUUUACUGUAAUAGUAUCUUAAACUGAAAGCCUAGGGAUUAAUCUUAAAAUUUGCCUUUAAACAUAUCCUUUGUUUAAAGACUUUAUCAUUGUCCCCAUCUCAUUAGCAUAAACAGCUUCUAUUUAUGGUUGUAUCUUCUUAUUAAAUAAAGUUACUAAAGGCCUGCUAUGAGCCAGUCAUGAAGCACAAGUCAUCUGGUAACAAAAAUGACAAAACCCUUGUCCUCAUGGACAUGAAAGUCCAGCCAUAGAAGUGAUUCUUUUCAGCCUUCCUGGAACAUCUCAGUCACUUUGUAUAAUCUACAGUGACUGCAAUUACUAAGAUUCAGAUCUUGAUAGAAAGCUGCUUCAAAAUCUUCAAAUGCUUAGUCCAAGUUUCAAACUGGUAUCUAUCCUCAAAUGUCUUCUCAGGGCUGCUUUCUUCUCAUAAAAGAUGUUUUAUUAUA